AUGGCCUGGGCUCACAGGGACGGCCAGCAAAGGCAGGCACAGGGGGCUUUGGAAUUGCUUUAAAAGGGGAGAGGGGGCUCUGAUUGAAAACCCAGCGUGAAUAAUAGCAUCCAGCACUGUAUUUUGAUGGGAUAAUUGUUUUAUAUUUGUAAAGAUUCUUAAUUAUCUCCAGCAAAUGCAUUUAGCUCACUUGGUAAUUGAAUUAAGGAAAAUGUUUUUUCAAGCAUUGUAAGUCAUUGCUAUAAUAAAAGAGAAGGAAGAAUGACUUUAAAGUACCUCCCUACAUGACCUAGACAAACUUGUUAUGACUGAAAGCUGAGUAAUCCCAUUAAGGCCUUAGUUGGUUCUAAUAGAACAGGCAUUCUGGAGAUGCCAAAUGAAAAUCGCAAGAGAUGGUGGAAACUUCCUUUCUUUGGGAAGCCUCUGUCGACCCCACUUCGAGCGGAUCCUGCCGUCCUGGUGCCCUGGGCAUACUUUUAUUUUUGUGCUUAUCACACUGACCUGUGAUAGCCUCCUGGUCAGCCUCAACUCCCCUUUAUCCCCUACGUGUCCUGAGAGCUCAGAUGGACGGCAUUUGCCCACUUCAGUAUUUCCCAGCACAGUCAAUAAAGGAGCACAUGAGAUGCUUCCCAACCUGUGUGAAUACCCUUCCUGACACAGCAGAGAACAGUCCUUCAUAAAUCCUGUGUCUUUGGAGGGACGUUUUCUGGCACACUGCGGCAGCUGUGGCUUGCAAUGUCUAAGUUACCAGGAUGUCGGUGGGGAGGGCCCUGACCAGGGCGGAGUAGGGGGACCUGCAGCGUCUGGGAGCAUGAAGCCUUGCUGCUGGAGUCUCCAGGCUCGCCAGGCAGGGCUGGGGGUGGCGCUGGGAGGAGCCCAGACAGAUAGGCCCUGAGCUUUGAAGAAAAAUCAAUAUUCAGCAGGGAGUUGAUUGUGUCAUAAACGUCUCGAGUUGCACUGCCACUUCCUGGCCCCUGAGUGGCCCAAGGUGAGCUCUGCUGAGGAGAGAGCUGCCCUGCCUACCCCUCCCCUGCACUGCCUGUCUGAGGUCACAGAAGGAGCAGGAGAAAGGCAGCAGGCAUCUUAGGUGGUAAAGCCACUCAGUGAGCCACAGCAGCGAGGCGAGGAUGGUGGCUCCCUCUUUCUUUCGGAGGUGCAUACAUUCAACAAAUAACUACUCAAUGCCCACCAUGCCCAGUCCUGGGGCCAGGCUCUGGUGAUGCGGCCAGGAGCCCGGCAGACAGUGUGCUGCCUGCAUGGAGUCUACAGUCCUGUGUGGAGAUCAAUGUUGAACGGGGAAAUGAAACAGAAAACUGGCCAAGUAGAGGCUGAUAAGCGUCAUCCAGCAAAGCAAUGAACAGGCAGGUGGAGGCUCGGGAGGGCUGGGCAGGGCUGCUGCAGAUGGGCAGGGCUCUGGGCACUCGGCUGGGCAGGAGCCUGGGCAGUGGGGGGACUGGCUCCCAACACAGCCACUCCCCAACCACUCUUGGCUUCUCUGCUUCCUUCCUUCUCUCCCUGCCUCCUUCCCACACCUAUGCCCAGGUGCUCCUGUAGCUCUGGCUUGCGUAGGGACACUGCCAAGUGGCCCAUCCCCUUCAUUUCGUAGUCCAGAUGCUCUGACAGUGACCCCAGGUGACCGCCCAUGCAUCGCCUGUCCUGGUGGGGGCCAUCCUGUGCCAUCAUUGGGGGGGGGGUGCAGUGUGCAUGACACGGCACAGCAUGGCUCAUAGCUGCCCAGCACCAGGGGCUGAGGGGGUGAUGGGCAUAGCAGUGAGCAUUCCAUCUGGGAUUGAGUCCUGCUUGCCUCUGUCAGGGGAUGUCCUUAGGCAAGUCCCUUAACAUGCAUGUGCCUCAGUUUUGUCACCUGUAGCCCAGUGCCUCAUGGUGCCAAGGAGGUCACAAGCAUGAAGCCCCUGGCAGGGUGUGCCGGGCACGUGUGCACAUGCCCCCUGGAGGGGAUUCAUCAUCGCGGGCGGAGCUCUGCAGUUCCAGCCUCCUGAGGGUCCUGAUGCCUCACGAGGCCAAGAGGCAAAGGGUUUUGUAACUUACAUAACCGCAGAGAAAGGCAAGGUUGCUGCUCACAAUGAUGCUUUCACAGGGCGGCUCUGGGACGGCAUCCUCACCCGACUAUAUGGAAUUCCACAUCCUUUCCGAAUCUUGGUGUUACACAAUAGUCACUGAGAUAUCAUGUACCCCAUUAACGUUGAGACUUUUAUGUAUUUACAAUUCAGCUUAAAUUUUUACCCAGAGAAGUUUUCAAAAUGUAACAUGUGUUAGUCACUGUGUGAAUUGCGAAACCAAGGAAAUAUCUCCAAAGUGCUGGCCUUGACAAUGUAAUCUGGCAAGGCUUGGGGAGGAAUAAAAAUAACACUUCUCAGCAUCGCCGUCUCUGAGGGCAGGAGUGAUCUGGAGCCCUCCCCAAGCCCACAGGUCCCUGAAUGCAGUUAACUCAGCGAGUCCUGAGUUCCCCAGGAGGUGGGCAUUCCCAUCUUACCCACGUUGCAGAUGAAGACACUGAGGUAUUGGGAGAACCUGCCCAGGUGAUACAGGUAGUAUGUGGCGGUUGGGGGAUGUGAACUUGAGCUCCUGACCAACUCUGCUGCAUGGGCUGACAACUCCGGCUUCUCCGGGAGAGGGGCAGGGGCUGAGGUGGGGCUUUUUUGUUUUUGUUUUUGGCCUUUCUGAGUCCUCUGUGCUUUCUUCCCAGGUGCAUAGAUGACUUACUUUCAGAAAAUGUCAACAGGGUGCUCUGCAGAGGGGCAUGGGCUUUUAUGCCUUUAUUAUGCUUUUCUGUAUUAAAAGAAAAAUACAGUCAUGUGAUUUUAGAAACUCAACCCAUGGAAGAGAGAAUACUGGGUCUGUAGGAAAUCUGCAAAGUGGGAAAGAUACUUCUGGGCUUGGUGGUGGCACCUUGGAGCCUGCUUACGGAAAUCACCUCUCGUUCCCGUGAUGCUGAAAGCAGAAUGCUGGACAUGGAAGAACCGCGGUACUCGAGCUUCGUCUGCUGCCCCACACCCCACUGGCUGUUGCAAGAGUGACGUUGCCAUUGGUGACUGCAGGUCUCCCAGCAGCCUGGUGCAGAGAGGCCACUUCAGGCUCGAACAGAGGCCCGGGUUUCCACGGGAGACAGCAGAGCCACGGUGUAGCAGGCAUCCAGCUCUCCCCCGAUCAGUUCCGUGACUUGUCGGAAGGCCCUCCCUCCCGGUCAGACGAAGAAAGGACUGGUGGCCUCUGGGGAUCCUGAGCCUGUCUCCAUGGGAACCAGCUCACCCACCCCCUCUCUGGCAAGUGUCCUAGUGGGAGCCAUGGGAAACCAUGGGCUCCAGCCCCUGGCCGCUGACUGGUUGGCGGCCUUCCGUUUUGAGAUCCCUGGCCCAGGGUAAUGGAGGGGACCUCAUCUUACAGAAGACACAGCGAGGGUGUGGAGAGGCUGUGGGGGAAGCACAGCCUGGCCGGCAGCUGCUGGGUGUCCUGGCUUGAGCUCAGGGCACCUUUGUCCCAGGGUGGGACCCUCAGGUCUCAGGGGCUGCUCCAUCCCCGUUGAGGGCUCCCUUCAUUCUUGAUGUCUGUCCACUCACAGAGGGGGCGUCAUGCCUCUCCAAAGACCCCCACAUUCCAGUCCUUGUGUCCCUGAGGUCGGCCUCCUGGCGGCCACCUCACAGGGAAGGCCCUGGACACAGGGCCCUGGCCUAAUGCAGCAUGGCUUCAUCUUAACUAGUUACGUGUGCAAAGACCCUGUCUCCAAACAAGGUCAUAUUUUGGGCUUCUGAGUGGAAGUUGGUUUGGGGGACACUCAUCAACCCAGCACAAUGCUCCCCCUCACCAUGUUCGUUGAAGAGAAGACUCUUGGACACCUGGAGGCCACCAGUCCUUUCUGGAUCCCCAGAGGCCACCAGUACUUUCUUCCUCUGACCUGAAACAAGAGCUAGCAGGGGCUGGCAGGCCGACUGCGUCUGCUGCCAUUUUGAGUACUGGCCCCAGCCGCAAUGCCCAGGACUGAGUCAUGGAGAUUCCCUCAGAAAUGGUGCAACCCAGUCUGUCCACAGAGUGAGGGGCGACAAGCCUGGUGGCCCCGGCUUCAGUGCAGGCCAUCCUUUCCACCUAUUGUCUCCUUUUGGUCUCAUGGGGACCCGGUUCUUGUCCUCUGCCCUGUAGCAUGGCUACGACCCUCAUGGGCCACAAACUUGAUGCCCUCAGGCGGCUAGACUCUACCCCAGAUCCGGGGCUGGCAGCGGCAUGGAUGUGGUCAACUGGCAUGCAGUUGUUACCCAGACACCCUCCCAUCAGCACUUUUUUAGGGGGUGAGUGACAGAAACUCAACUUGGGCUUAAAGGUGAAUUUACUGGUUCCUGUGAUGACAGAGUUCAAGGUUCAGCUGGACCUGGUGCCUCCAAUGACGUCACCAAGUCUGUCUGUCCAUCUGUCUGAGUUCAGCUUCCUCCAGGUCUUCGUUCUCCAGCAGGCCUUCUCCUCAAAGUGGCCAGGUGACUGUCAGCUCUAUGGUUCAUUCUACCAGUUUAUGAAUCUCCCCUCCUCAUGUUGCUCAAAUUCAGCUGUGAGUAAACUCCCAAGCUGAUUGCAGCGUCCAAAGGGAGGGCACUGGUCCCAUGUGCAGCCGGCAACUCUAUGGGUUCAGCUCCACCCAAACUAUAUAGACCACAGCAGGGAAGGAAAGCCAGGGAUGCUAGGAUGGCCAGCACCACUGCAGAAGCCUAUUGAUCCCGUGCAAAAUAGCUCCAGUAAAAGGAGGGCUUUGGGGCCCGGUGUGUUGGCACACACCUGUAAUCCCAGCACUUUGGGAGGCCAAGGCAUGUGGAUCACUUGAGGUCAAAAG
rnacentral:lncRNA from 1 species